rnacentral:rRNA from 1 species
AACGAACGUUAGCGGCACGCUUAACACAUGCAAGUCGAGCGAGAAUCCCUUCGGGGAGGACAGCGGCGCACGGGUGAGUAACACGUAGAUAAUCUGCCCUCGAGUGGUGGAUAACGUUCCGAAAGGAACGCUAAUACAGCAUAACACCACGGCUCUUCGGAGUUUUGGCCAAAGCGGAGGACCUCUUCGGAGGCUUCGCGCUUGAGGAUGAGUCUGCGGCCCAUCAGCUAGUUGGUAGUGUAAAGGACUACCAAGGCUAAGACGGGUAGCUGGUCUGAGAGGAUGAACAGCCACACUGGAACUGAGACACGGUCCAGACUCCUACGGGAGGCAGCAGUGGGGAAUCUUGCGCAAUGGGCGAAAGCCUGACGCAGCGAUGCCGCGUGAGCGAUGAAGGCCUUCGGGUUGUAAAGCCCUGUGGAUGGAGACGAAUAAGUCGUAGCUAAUACCUGCGAUGAUGACGGUAUCCAUUUAGCAAGCACCGGCUAACUCUGUGCCAGCAGCCGCGGUAAGACAGAGGGUGCAAACGUUGUUCGGAAUUACUGGGCGUAAAGCGCGUGUAGGCGGCUUUGUAAGUCGGAUGUGAAAUCCCGCGGCUCAACCGUGGAAGUGCACCCGAAACUGCAAGGCUAGAGUAUCGGAGAGGAAGGUGGAAUGCUUGGUGUAGAGGUGAAAUUUCGUAGAUAUCAAGCGGAACACCGGUGGCGAAGGCGGCCUUCUGGACGAUUACUGACGCUGAGACGCGAAAGCGUGGGUAGCAAA